ACGGAAGGCAGCAGUGGGGGAUAUUGGACAAUGGGGGAAACCCUGAUCCAGCGACGCCGCGUGAGUGAAGAAGUAUUUCGGUAUGUAAAGCUCUAUCAGCAGGGAAGAAAAAUUCAAAAUUGACAGUACCUGACUAAGAAGCCCCGGCUAACUACGUGCCAGCAGCCGCGGUAAUACGUAGGUGGCAAGCGUUGUCCGGAUUUACUGGGUGUAAAGGGUGCGCAGGCGGGGCUGCAAGUUGGAUGUGAAAUGCUGAGGCUCAACCUCAGAACUGCAUCCAAAACUGUAGUUCUUGAGUGGAGUAGAGGUAAGCGGAAUUCCGAGUGUAGCGGUGAAAUGCGUAGAUAUUCGGAGGAACACCAGUGGCGAAGGCGGCUUACUGGGCUCUAACUGACGCUGAGGCACGAAAGUGUGGGUAGCAAACAGGAUUAGAUACCCUGGUA
rnacentral:rRNA from 1 species